rnacentral:rRNA from 1 species
GACGAACGCUGGCGGCGUGCUUAACACAUGCAAGUCGAACGGAAAGGCCCUGCUUUUGUGGGUUGCUCGAGUGGCGAACGGGUGAGUAACACGUGAGUAACCUGCCCUUGACUUUGGGAUAACUUCAGGAAACUGGGGCUAAUACCGGAUAGGAGCUCCUGCUGCAUGGUGGGGGUUGGAAAGUUUCGGCGGUUGGGGAUGGACUCGCGGCUUAUCAGCUUGUUGGUGGGGUAGUGGCUUACCAAGGCUUUGACGGGUAGCCGGCCUGAGAGGGUGACCGGCCACAUUGGGACUGAGAUACGGCCCAGACUCCUACGGGACGCAGCAGUGGGGAAUAUUGCACAAUGGGCGGAAGCCUGAUGCAGCAACGCCGCGUGCGGGAUGACGGCCUUCGGGUUGUAAACCGCUUUCGCCUGUGACGAAGCGUGAGUGACGGUAAUGGGUAAAGAAGCACCGGCUAACUACGUG